GUGCUUAACACAUGCAAGUCGAACGGAAAGGCCUCUUCGGAGGUACUCGAGUGGCGAACGGGUGAGUAACACGUGGGCAAUCUGCCCUGCACUUCGGGAUAAGCCUGGGAAACUGGGUCUAAUACCGGAUAGGACCUCAAGACGCAUGUCUUCUGGUGGAAAGCUUUUGCGGUGUGGGAUGGGCCCGCGGCCUAUCAGCUUGUUGGUGGGGUGACGGCCUACCAAGGCGACGACGGGUAGCCGGCCUGAGAGGGUGUCCGGCCACACUGGGACUGAGAUACGGCCCAGACUCCUACGGGAGGCAGCAGUGGGGAAUAUUGCACAAUGGGCGCAAGCCUGAUGCAGCGACGCCGCGUGGGGGAUGACGGCCUUCGGGUUGUAAACCUCUUUCACCAUCGACGAAGGUCCGGGUUUUCUCGGAUUGACGGUAGGUGGAGAAGAAGCACCGGCCAACUACGUGCCAGCAGCCGCGGUAAUACGUAGGGUGCGAGCGUUGUCCGGAAUUACUGGGCGUAAAGAGCUCGUAGGUUGUUUGUCGCGUUGUUCGUGAAAUC
rnacentral:rRNA from 1 species